GUAUGAUGAUUAAUACUGAGUGUCAACUUGAUUGGAUUGAAGGAUGCAAAGUAUUGAUCCUGGGUGUGUCUGUAACAGUGUUGCCAAAGGAGAUUAACAUUUGAGUCAGUGGGCUGGAGAAGAAAGACCCACUCUUAAUCUGGUGGGCACAAUCUAAUCAGCUGCCAGCACAGCUGGAAUACAAAGCAGGCAGAAAAAUGUGAAAAGGUGAGACUGGCCUAGCCUCCCAGCCUAUAUCUAUCUCCCGUGCUGGAUGCUUCCUGCCCUCAAACAUCAGACUCCAAGUUCUUCAGUUUUGAGACUCAGACUGGUUCUCCUUGCUCCUCAAGCUUGCAGACAGCCUAUUGUGGGACCUCGUGAUCAUAUUCCUUCAAUUAGAGUGCCUCUGAAAGACAGGGUGUAUUCCAGCUGGCAUUGGGACAACCUAAAGUUUAAACCUUUGGGUGAAAAAGUGCCAACUUGGGAGACAUAUUAUCAAGACUGAAUCAGAGAGUUGACAGCAUACCAGGAAGUGUCACUGUAUAGUUUGGAAGAUGGAAAUCAUACUACUUUUUUCCCAUUUUCACAGAUGAAGAGAGGAAUUUUGCCCCAGGAUGGACCAUACCAUGAGUCUCACCUAUUAUUGAUUUAAAUAUUUAGAUGAGAAUUUGGACUUCAUCAGAAUUAAAAACUUUUCAUUAUCAGGAAAGUGAAAAGACAACCUAUAAAAUUAGAGAAAUAUUUAUAAAUCACAAAGCUGAUAAGGAUCUAGUAUCCAGACAAUACAGUGAACUCUUAAAACCCAUCAACAAAAAGAAAACCCAAUUUUAAAAAUGGGAAAAAAGUUAAAUAGACUUAAAA
rnacentral:lncRNA from 10 species